rnacentral:lncRNA from 1 species
GUUUUCUUAAGCAUUUUUACAUAAGGGAGAUUAUUAAAAAGUUUCUCCUGCUGUGCUGUGGUCUGGAUAUUUGCACCCCACCAAAUUCAUAAAUUGAAAUCUUGGAACCCCCAAGGUUAUGGUGGAGGAGGUGAGAUCCUUGGGAAGUGACACAGUCAUGAGGGCAGAGCCUCACAAAUAGGAUCAGUGUCUUAUAAAAGGAACCCCAGAGAGCUCCCUCAGCCCUUCCAUCACGUGAGGACACAGCAAGAAGAUGGCCAUUCACCCAUAAACCUGGAAUAGGCCCUCACAGACACCGAACCUGCUGACACCGCGAUCUUGGACUUCCAGGCUCCAAAAGCUUAUCAGCGACUGAGCUGGCCGUGUUUAGGAGGACGGGGUGAUGCCACUGACACUGAGGGAGGCGUGAAGCCUGAGACGCGCCUGUGAGACCGGGACCGGUGGGGCCGGCGCGCGCCCAGAUUCCAGCUCUGCCCCAGGAGCCUGAAGCCCCCAGCAACCUGCAGUGUGGGCUCUGAGAAACUCGGUGAAACAGGGCUUCCCUGCAGGUGGCCAGCGGAUGGGACAAUCAGGGCAGACUUGGAGGUCUCUGAAGUCUUGGAAAGUCUGAAGGGCAGGCCAGCCUGGGAGAUGGAGGACACACUGGAGUGGCAGGUGCCUCGGGCGGCCGGCUGAGCACCAAAGAGGGACUUCUCACACACAGGUCCGCUUGGUCUCCUACACGCUUGCCCACGCGCUCCGUGGAUGCAGGAGCCGUGGUUAUCCUUGGCAGAAGGUUGAGUAGCACCUGCCUUGCCAGGGACCUGCUCCAAGCAGGCACGUCUGGUGAAUGCUGUGCCAGGCCCUUCCGGGAGCAGCCCCUCCCCGGGUGCCGGGGUCACCUGGCUCUGCCUGCCUGCAUGUGGAUCCCUGCGGGGCAGCGGGCACCCGGAUGACGUGGUUUUCCCUCACUGGAUUGGAGUGGAGUGAAUUUAACCCCCUCGUGGCUGCCAUCAUUUUCACUGUGAGGGAAGAGCAGCCGUGCCGUGGUGGUUUUAGAUGUCGUCUGUGGAGGACAUCAGGCUGACAUCCACGUCCUGGACUCCCCCUCGUUUGGUUUCAGAAUUUCUCUUAAAGACAACAUCAUAUUGUGACCCCAAAGCAUUCGAUAGAAAUAUCAAAAUUUUAAGGCACUUUGAGAAUUAAGAUAAAAUAUCUGUAAAUAUUAUGUCAAAUUUCACCA